rnacentral:misc_RNA from 1 species
GGCAGUUCUAGCAUUUUAGGAUAGUAGAAUGUACCUACUCCCAGAAGUAGCAUACCACAAACCCAAGCGUACCAACGAUUAUCAGAGUACAGCCAUAAGCAGUGGCACCAAGUUCAUGAAUUUGCCAAGUUAUUCAUGUAUAAUCAUGAGAGUAACGCGAGGCCCAAUUAAUAAAAGUUCCAAAAGGCCACCAGCCUAAGCAGAUGCACCACCACG